UACGAAGGGGCUAGCGUUGUUCGGAAUUACUGGGCGUAAAGCGCGCGCAGGCGGUCUUCCAAGUCAGUGGUGAAAGCCCGGAGCUCAACUCCGGAACUGCCAUUGAAACUGUGAGACUUGAGGAUGAGAGAGGUGAGUGGAAUUCCCGAGUGUAGGAGGUGAAAUUCGUAGAUAUUGGGAAGAACACCGGUGGCGAAGGCGGCUCUCUGGACCGAUACGUGACGCUGAGGCGCGAAAGCGUGGGGAGCAAACAGG
rnacentral:rRNA from 1 species